UGGGGAAUAUUGCACAAUGGGCGGAAGCCUGAUGCAGCGACGCCGCGUGGGGGAUGAAGGCCUUCGGGUUGUAAACUCCUUUCGACAGGGACGAAGCUUUUGUGACGGUACCUGUAUAAGAAGCACCGGCUAACUACGUGCCAGCAGCCGCGGUAAUACGUAGGGUGCGAGCGUGGUCCGGAAUUACUGGGCGUAAAGAGCUCGUAGGUGGUUUGUCGCGUCGUCUGUGAAAUUCCGGGGCUUAACUCCGGGCGUGCAGGCGAUACGGGCUGACUUGAGUGCUGUAGGGGAGACUGGAAUUCCUGGUGUAGCGGUGAAAUGCGCAGAUAUCAGGAGGAACACCGAUGGCGAAGGCAGGUCUCUGGGCAGUAACUGACGCUGAGGAGCGAAAGCAUGGGUAGCGAACAGG
rnacentral:rRNA from 1 species